rnacentral:rRNA from 1 species
GGGCUAGCGUUGUUCGGAAUUACUGGGCGUAAAGCGCACGUAGGCGGAUUUGUAAGUCAGGGGUGAAAUCCCGGGGCUCAACCUCGGAACUGCCUUUGAUACUGCAAGUCUCGAGUCCGAUAGAGGUGAGUGGAAUUCCUAGUGUAGAGGUGAAAUUCGUAGAUAUUAGGAAGAACACCAGUGGCGAAGGCGGCUCACUGGAUCGGUACUGACGCUGAGGUGCGAAAGCGUGGGGAGCAAACAGG